rnacentral:rRNA from 1 species
AUAUCAAUAAGCGGAGGAAAAGAAACUAACAAGGAUUCCCCUAGUAACUGCGAGUGAAGCGGGAAAAGCCCAAAUUUAAAAUCUGGCGGUCUUGGGCCGUCCGAGUUGUAAUCUGGAGAAGUGUUACCCGCGCCGGACCGUGUACAAGUCCCUUGGAAGAGGGCAUCUCAGAGGGUGAAAAUCCCGUCUACGACAUGGAUCCCCGGUGCUUCUGUGGUGCGCUCUCGAUGAGUCGAGUUGUUUGGGAAUGCAGCUCUAAAUGGGUGGUAAACUCCAUCUAAGGCUAAAUAUAGGCGAGAGACCGAUAGCGAACAAGUACCGUGAGGGAAAGAUGAAAAGAACUUUGGAAAGAGAGUUAAACAGUACGUGAAAUUGCUGAAAGGGAAACGCUUGAAGUCAGUCGCGUCGUCCGGGAUUCAGCCUCGCCUUGGUGUGGUGUACUUCCCGGUUUGACGGGUCAGCAUCGAUUUUGGCCGCCGGAAAAGGGUGGAGGGAAUGUGGCACCCUCGGGUGUGUUAUAGCCCUCUGUCGGAUUACGGUGGCUGGGAUCGAGGAUCGCAGUGCAGCUCCCUCGGGGGUGCGGGUUCGCCCAGCUCAUGCACUUAGGAUGCUGGCAUAAUGGCUUUAAACGACCCGUCUUGAAACACGGACCAAGGAGUCUAACACGCCCG